AAGACUAUACUUUCAGGGAUCAUUUCUAUAGUUUGCUACUAGAGAAGUUUCUCUGAACGUGUAGGGUACCAGAAACCACGAGGACGAGGUGCAGCGUUCCUUCCUGAGCGUGAAACUGGCUUUGGGCGUCACUUUGGUGUCUGCCUUUUGUCCUUGAUGAUCGUUCUUUUUUCUCCUUUGGAGGAACAAGAAGGAAGGGAUGCCAUCUGAGUGGC
rnacentral:snoRNA from 3 species